ACCGUGGGAGAUUUGUCAUUUUUGUCAAGAAAUUAAAGGCCUUCUCUGAGGUUUUUAUCGAGGAUGAAAUUAAGGAUGUGUUGGCAGAGUCAUAUCAGAACAUGGAUGAUGAAAUUGACUUUGAGUCCUUCCUUAAGGUGAGUCUUUUAUGUUCUUUCUUUGAUGUUCUUCAAAAGCUAAAGCUUUAGGUUUCUUUUCCAUUCGAUUUCUUUGUUUUGUUUCUUAUAUGAUUCCUCUGUCUUAGAAUAUGCUUGUUUGUCAUUUCUUAGACGAAAUAGUAUGAAAAUGGAUAAAUUGCACUCAUCUCCCUAAGAUUAAAUGAUACAUCUACUCCCUUGAGUUAGGAAAAGACAUUGACAUCUCACUCAAUUGCCUGAAUCUCCCAUAGUAGAUGAGUGCAAUUUUCCACAAGAGCAUAGAAGAAUGUCGUUAGAUGCUCAACUUGUCUCUACUUGAAUGUAUACUUUUGUUUUUGUUUUGAAUGUUUGAGUGGGAAAAUAUAUUCAAUUUAUUUGCAAGUACUGUUAUAUGUAUUAACUAUAUUGAACCCGAAAGCUUAUUUAUUGACAUUGUGUGGUACGCACAUUUAAAUUUGCAAACUCGAGCUAUAGCAAAAGGCGGUGGUUCAAAAAGUUCUUCUUCAUUUUUGAAGACAGCCACAACAAUUGUUUAUCAUGCAAUUAAUGAAUCUAAGAAGGCUUCUUAUGUUGCACAUAUUAACAGUUACCUGGAUAAAGAUAAAUUCAUGAAGCAGUUUCUUCUAAUUGAUCCAUGUGCAGAUAUUUUGAGUUCACCUAAAAAGUAUAUUUUGCUGCCACUGCAAAAGGCAUCGCGCCUGUGAUUGAAUUGCACCGCUUUUCCUGUUCCAAAUCAGUGCGAUUGGUAACUUUGGAGCACAACUCUUUCACAAUCAACUUUUAACUUUGUGCAUUACAAACUAUGAGCUUUUAGAGAGUCAAGUUCAACUUAUACUGGAGAUGGGUCUUCCCACUACUGUUGCUUAUUUUCCCUCCCUUACAGAUUUCAUGACUAUGGAGUUGAUGGGGGACCUGCAGCAAAAGCAAUCAGACCGAAGUUUGAUGCGUUUAUAAGUAAAGUUGAUUCACAUGUUGGCUUCCAACUUCCACAAAUUGAUGUUAGUCUCUCUUUCUCUAUAUCAAUUAUGUCAGGAAACCAUGAUUUAAAAUUAAAAAGCACAAGAAAACAAGGAAAAAGAAAGUUGAGGUCCAACAUGUAGUUUGAGACUGCUUAGGAAUUUAGUAAUGAUGAGGCAUUUUUCUUAUUUGCAGUGUCUCAUAGUCCGAGAAUAAACAAAGUCACUACUAUUGUUAUCCUUUAUAAUAUGUUGAGCUGAGGGUGAUCUUCAACCUCUUGCAUUGAUCUUAUGAGCUUGUUUUGAUUUACAUUAAAGUUCAGCGGCAAACUUGAACGUGUAUGUCUCUCCAAUCUUGUGUUCACAAUCAGCAUAGACCUUUAUUAGUGUCUACUUGGAUAAAAAUAGGAUUUUUGAUAUUGUUGCAGUUAGUUUUAAAUUAUCAUUCUGCACAAAGUUACCCCAAGCAAGGCUAGUAAAAGAGACCUUGAUCGUGUAUGACUUAUGUGCUUAUAGUGGCAUGUCUCUACAAUCUUGUAUUGACAAUCAGCAUCACUUUUAUUAAUGUUUAUUUUGAUAACAAAAUAUAGGAAUUUUUUGCAUGGUUGCAGUUAGUCUUCACAUAGUUGCGAAAAGCAAUUGCUAAUAAAAUUUUCCGACCCGUAGGGUUUCUUUCUAUCAUGUUGUGAUAAUUUUUAUGGAUAAAACAGCAUGCAUCUGAAAAGAAAUUUCAGGAGAUCCUUGAAGAAUCAGUAGUGCGUCCUCUCCAGAUUGAAGGAGAACUAUAUAUAGGAAUUCCCCCAUGUAUAUGCUACUCGAACUGCUACAUCUCCGAAAGUCACGUCCAAGGCUCCGUCAAACGAAGAUGUUGUUAAUGAUGUGCUUACUCUAACAGAAAAAUCUUCUGCUGCUCUCUUAGAUAAUAGCUCCAGAGAAGAUUUGA